rnacentral:lncRNA from 1 species
UUUUUCUCGAAAUAAGCAAAUUGAUUUCAUGCGAUAAAACAGAUUAAAGUUAGACUAAAGUCAUUCAUUUUUUCUCGUAAUAUUACUCAAACAAAAAUAUCACUCAAACCAAACAUAUGAAAAAUACUGAAAUGAGUUAAUGGGUGGGAUUGUCCUGUCAGCCAAGCUGCAACAUCUGCUUGGCUGAGGGAGGGAGGGAUGGAGGGACAAUCUCACCUAAAACAGUCCAAAAAAAUUUCAAACAAAUGUAAAAAUGGUUUAAAAUAAAUAUUAUAUUGUUCUGGGCGGCAAAGUUAAAAUGAUCCACACAUAGCAAACUAAAGGAAGUUGAGCUUUUAAUAUGAUCCCUUUUAAUAUCAGCCUUGAUAUCACAUAAAAUAGAAUUUUACACGUCCCAGAUUCUUACAGGGCUUCAGGAAACGCAGGUAAGUACCUUGUAACUCGUGGAAUUGUAAGGAUUUGUUAUCGCUCCUGCAGCACUUCUACUUCACUGUACUUAAAACAUUAUUUUGUCUUUGAGUUUGUCGUUAUGAGUGGCUCCCAGCUGUCCGGAGGGAGGCCCUGGAGCUCAAAAAUAUCACCAGUGGACCAGGCACCCCCCCCCCACAAACCGUGUGCCACGCAAAAAGCCGGACAGACAACAAGCCUGACAGACAGAGAGGCUAUGGGAGGGGUUGAAGAUGGACCUGGAAUGGAUGGGCCUAGUGACACUGGCGAGGCCGAGUGCAGAAGCGACAUUCAAUCAUUUUGAGAUGGACCCGAGCAUUUUGGUCUGCAUGGAGAGUUCAACUGAAGUGAAUCAGUAGCAGCUCUACUCUGCGACUCAUAUCUGUAAGUAGAGUUUAUUCUUAACGUUUGGACUCGUGUCUUCUGUUGGUGAUUAAAUGCACAGUUGGUUCAUGUUGUUUUAUCGUAACAUUUUCCUUUUUAUCUUUACAGCAGUCUACUUUGAAAGAGUCUACUUCUUCUGCAAAUGGAGAGUUCAACACAACAAAGACACGACUGUUGCUGUCAGUCAUCCAGCUGGAGACAGGACUCACUUCCAAAGCAAAGAAAGGAUUUUCUGCAGAACUCCCGAUGCAAACCCCAAAGACAGCUAACCCCUUCUUCAGGACCAAGAACAGGUUAACUCCAGGCAGUCACUGCCCUUUGUCACCUGGCUACUCACUGGCGAGUCACUCAUGAACCAGAGACUCCCAAAACCCUCCCACUAACCACAUACACACACACACACGUGUCGCAUGCUCAGCCGUCCUGGUAGGGGAUCUCUCUUUGACUUGGCCUACCUAAAGGUUUCUCCUUUUUCCCCUAAUAAGGGUUUUAAAGAGUUUUUCCUUUAAUGCUUGGAGAGUCUAAGGCUGAUGAUGCAAGACACACAAAUGUGUGAUAGUCUGAUGGGACCCAAAGUUGAGCUUUGUUUUCAUGUUAGUUUUAUGCUUUGAUAUUUUCAUGUAAUAAAAUGUAAAUGAAGUGACUAAAAAAAUGUAUCAUGUCUGAUUAACCAAGAGGUACGUGGGCAUUACAAAUGGUUUGACUCAAAGGUUUACAUGGUGGAGCAUGUCGUAGCAACUCAAGUAAUCAACUGAGUGU